GGAGAAAGGUAAACAGACAGGUAAACAGACAGGUAGAGGUGAGGUAGAGGAGAAAGGUAAACAGACAGGUAAACAGACAGGUAGAGGUGAGGUAGAGGAGAAAGGUAAACAGACAGGUAAACAGACAGGUAGAGGUGAGGUAGAGGAGAAAGGUAAACAGACAGGUAAACAGACAGGUAGAGGUGAGGUAGAGGAGAAAGGUAAACAGACAGGUAAACAGACAGGUAGAGGUGAGAUAGAGGAGAAAGGUAAACAGACAGGUAAACAGAGGUGAGGUAGAGGAGAAAGGUAAACAGACAGGUAGAGGUGAGGUAGAGGAGAAAGGUACACAGACAGGUAGAGGUGAGGUAGAGGAGAAAGGUAAACAGACAGGUAGAGGUGAGGUAGAGGAGAAAGGUAAACAGACAGGUAAACAGACAGGUAGAGGUGAGGUAGAGGAGAAAGGUAAACAGACAGGUAAAC
rnacentral:lncRNA from 1 species